rnacentral:rRNA from 1 species
CACCGGCGGCCCGAGUGGUAACCGUUUUUAUUGGGUCUAAAGGGUCUGUAGCCGGCCAUGUAAGUCCUUUGGGAAAUCUGGUAGCUCAACUAUCAGGCUGCCAGGGGAUACUGCUUGGCUUGGGACCGGGAGAGGUGAGAGGUACCUCAGGGGUAGGGGUGAAAUCUUGUGAUCCUUGAGGGACCACCAGUGGCGAAGGCGUCUCACCAGAACGGGUCCGACGGUAAGGGACGAAAGCUAGGGGCACGAACCGGAUUAGAUACCCGGGUAGUCCUAGCCGUAAACGAUGCUCGCUAGGUGUCAGUCACGGUGCGACCGUGAUUGGUGCCGUAGGGAAGCCGUGAAGCGAGCCACCUGGGAAGUAUGGCCGCAAGGCUGAAACUUAAAGGAAUUGGCGGGGGAGCACUACAACGGGUGGAGCCUGCGGUUC